GAUGAACGCUAGCUACAGGCUUAACACAUGCAAGUCGAGGGGCAGCAUGGUCUUAGCUUGCUAAGGCCGAUGGCGACCGGCGCACGGGUGAGUAACACGUAUCCAACCUGCCGUCUACUCUUGGACAGCCUUCUGAAAGGAAGAUUAAUACAAGAUGGCAUCAUGAGUUCACAUGUUCACAUGAUUAAAGGUAUUCCGGUAGACGAUGGGGAUGCGUUCCAUUAGAUAGUAGGCGGGGUAACGGCCCACCUAGUCUUCGAUGGAUAGGGGUUCUGAGAGGAAGGUCCCCCACGUUGGAAAUGAGACACGGUCCAAACUACUACGGGAGGCAGCAGUGAGGAAUAUUGGUCAAUGGGCGAGAGCCUGAAACAGCCAAGUAGCGUGAAGGAUGACUGCCCUAUGGGUUGUAAACUUCUUUUAUAAAGGAAUAAAGUCGGGUAUGUAUACCCGUUUGCAUGUACUUUAUGAAUAAGGAUCGGCUAACUCCGUG
rnacentral:rRNA from 1 species